CAGUCGCCACGGUAAUGCGAAGGGUGCAAGCGUUAAUCGGAAUUACUGGGCGUAAAGCGUGCGUAGGCGGUGAGUUAAGUCUGCUGUGAAAUCCCCGGGCUCAACCUGGGAAUGGCAGUGGAUACUGGCUCGCUAGAGUGUGUCAGAGGAUGGUGGAAUUCCCGGUGUAGCGGUGAAAUGCGUAGAGAUCGGGAGGAACAUCAGUGGCGAAGGCGGCCAUCUGGGACAACACUGACGCUGAGGCACGAAAGCGUGGGGAGCAAACAGGAUUAGAUACCCCAGUAGUCCCUGUCUCUUAUAC
rnacentral:rRNA from 1 species